GAUGAACGCUGGCGGCGCGCCUAAUACAUGCAAGUCGAGCGAGAAGACGUAGCAAUACGUUUGUAAAGCGGCGAACGGGUGAGGAAUACAUGGGUAACCUACCCUAGAGUGGGGAAUAACUAGCCGAAAGGUUAGCUAAUACCGCGUACGCUCCUUGGACUUCGGUUCAGGGAGGAAAGCGAUACCGAGGGUAUCGCGCUCUUGGAUGGGCUCAUGUCCUAUCAGCUUGUUGGUGAGGUAACGGCUCACCAAGGCUUCGACGGGUAGCUGGUCUGAGAGGACGAUCAGCCACACUGGCACUGCGACACGGGCCAGACUCCUACGGGAGGCAGCAGUAAGGAAUAUUGCGCAAUGGGCGAAAGCCUGACGCAGCGACGCCGC
rnacentral:rRNA from 1 species